GAUGAACGCUGGCGGCGUGCCUAAUACAUGCAAGUCGAACGAAAAGAGGAGCUUGCUUCUCUUUUAGUGGCGAACGGGUGAGUAAUACAUAAGCAACCUACCUAUUCGACCGGGAUAACAGUUGGAAACGACUGCUAAUACCGGAUAGGUGCGCGGGGGACAUCCCCUGCACAUUAAAGCUGGGACACAGCACGAAUGGAUGGGCUUAUGGCGCAUUAGUUAGUUGGCGGGGUAACGGCCCACCAAGACGAUGAUGCGUAGCCGACCUGAGAGGGUGACCGGCCACACUGGGACUGAGACACGGCCCAGACUCCUACGGGGGGCAGCAGUAGGGAAUUUUCGGCAAUGGGCGCAAGCCUGACCGAGCAACGCCGCGUGAGUGAAGAAGGCCUUCGGGUUGUAAAGCUCUGUUGUAAGGGAAGAAUGGCCAAGAGAGGGAAUGCUCUUGGAGUGACGGUACCUUUCCAGAAAGCCACGGCUAACUACGUGCCAGCCGCCGCCGUAACAC
rnacentral:rRNA from 1 species